GCCCGGUUAGCUCAGUCGGUAGGACUUUUUAAUCUGAGGGUCAUGGGUUCAAGGCCCAUAUCAGGCG